rnacentral:rRNA from 1 species
CCCAGACUCCUACGGGAGGCAGCAGUGGGGAAUAUUGGGCAAUGGGCGCAAGCCUGACCCAGCAACGCCGCGUGAAGGAAGAAGGCUUUCGGGUUGUAAACUUCUUUUGACAGGGAAGAGCAGAAGACGGUACCUGAUGAAUAAGCUCCGGCUAACUACGUGCCAGCAGCCGCGGUAAUACGUAGGGAGCAAGCGUUAUCCGGAUUUACUGGGUGUAAAGGGCGCGUAGGCGGGAUGGCAAGUCAGAUGUAAAAUCCAAGGGCUCAACCCUUGAACUGCAUUUGAAACUGUCGUUCUUGAGUACUGGAGAGGUUGACGGAAUUCCUAGUGUAGCGGUGAAAUGCGUAGAUAUUAGGAGGAACACCAGUGGCGAAGGCGGUCUGCUGGACAGCAACUGACGCUGAGGCGCGAAAGCGUGGGGAGCAAACAGGAUUAGAUACCCUAGUA